GACUGAAGCUGGAGUUUGAUCCUCAGAAGGGGUUUGGGCCAGAAAAGCACAAUAUGGGGCCCUUUAGAACAGCCAGGAUAGCCCCACGGAAAAUCACAAGGCUUCUGCAGGGAGCAUUUUUAUUCAUCUUAAUCUGGAGGCUCUUGGCUGCCCCCGCCUUCGUGAGAGAAUGAGGAAACACUCCAGUUUGAUGAGCAGGAACACCACCGGUUAUCUCCUCGGAACAUCUGCUGAUUCCAACGAAAUGCCAC
rnacentral:lncRNA from 1 species